CCAAUAAUAAAAUGAAGAAAUGGGCGCCUGCCAAACAGCGAAGAACAUUCCCACUGAUUCCCACAUUCAUCUACCAUCACCGACACAACAACAUUUACAUCAAGUGUGAGUUCACAGAAUCCAUUUGUAAGCCAGGUGAAUAAUGACAAAUUAUACAUAUUAGACAAAAUAAUGACAAAUCAAUAACUUAAUCUCCUAGUAGACGUCAAAACAGAAACACAUGAACUUACCAUAUUGAUUUGCCUGUCCAGCUCGUCCACAUG
rnacentral:lncRNA from 1 species